AGGCAACAAAGUUCAAGAACAGAGUCUUCACUUCUUCUCUUCCAACGGAUAUCCACGUAACUACAACAUCCAUUUUGCAACCAUGUUGACAGCCUGGCAUCUCUUUGUUCCAUUCUAUUGACUUCAUGUGGCAUUAUGUAUGAAGCCCUUUGAGCACAAAUCUUUCUAUGGAAGGACCUUCAUGGGAUUUGGAGUGCUCAAUGGCAUCUCAAUUUGGCUUCUCAAUCAGAGUCUAUGUUUCAACUCUGUUGGUUUCUAUCAGGGCAAGUCGAGUGCAUUGGUUGGAUCUAGAUUCCUGAUAUUGCAUAGGACUCGUCAAAAGGUGCUUCUCAAUUAUAGAUGGAAAACUUACCAUGGAGGCACAUAGCUUGCUGAUUUUGUUUCUAGAUUGGCCCUUGAGAGGGAGACCGACGCAAACUUCAGUAGGUUUCAGUCAUCUUUAAAGGAGUUGUGGUUGGUUGCCAUUGUGGUGAAGUAAUUUCUUGCUGAAGCACCGUUCUAAAUUUAUCAUUGGUUUCGCUGGUGCUGCAUGUAAGUGGGAUUACUAAUUGUUCCAUUGGUUUUGCUCUGAUCAGAUGGGAUGAUGAUGCAGAGUGUUAAAAGGCCUAAUGGGUUAUCUCGUUGGUAGAUGAAGCUUGUUGGAUUGAUUUCAGGCCAUUGAAAAUAGAUGACACCAUGCCUCCCCCAGUUAAUGAACAUGUGUCGCUUCCAAGUAAUAAUGAAUUUUCUAUUCUCUUUGCUCUGCUAAACUUUCUUUUCUUUUGCCAUUUUGGCUGGUAGUCUUUCAUAGAAUUUUGUGAUAUCUACUUGGCUCCACAAGGUCAUGCAACAUUAAGAAUUGCCGGGUUUGAAAAACACAGGAUGGAAUUGUUAAUUCAUUAUCUCUGUCUGAAGCAAGACAUAUUUGGUA